ensembl:lncRNA
CAGUGCCACUAAACACAUUGACUUCUCCUCCCUUCUGUCCCUUCCUUGCCUUUUGUAUUUUUCUCUUGCUUGUUGGUUUUGUCUGUGAAGCCGCCGGAUGACCAGAGCACGGAUUUCACCUCGUCCUUGAGAUAAGACAGGAGAUAUAAGAAUAGAGAGAGCGCGACACACACACAUUACCCCUACACACAGCGACCGAUCCGACAUCGAAACACGGGGAAGACGCAAUCACCGAGACCCGCUUCUGUAUAUUAUGCACCUGUGGCGACUGACUCUGCAUGUCUGUUUAUGUACAUUUGUUUUGCGUCACUUGUCGAACUCACUCUUCUCUGUCUCCUCCUUGUCCCUCUCCCCUCCAACUUGCAC